UUUACCCUUAGACCCCAGAGUGUUGUGUUUCUAGCACCUUCUAUAGGCUAUUAUGUGAAUGCCAUUUUUCCUGUUAUUUCAGAUGUUUGCCUUCUCAUUGGUUGUUUAAAGUCACAUUGAUUGCUAGUCACAUUAUAAGAGCAGCCAUUUUCCCUCUUUCCCCGUUUGAUCCAGAAGGAGGCAGUAAUGCAAUUAAAAAGGAUGCCAACUGCUGUAAAACACCAAAGAAGAAGAAUUUUCACUGUAACACAAGCUAAAGAACAGCAUGAUUCAAGACCUCCUUUAAUCUUGUUCCAUCUGCCUGUGUGAUCCUUGGGGAAGCUUUGUUUAAGGAGGCAGUAAUGCAAUUAAAAAGGAUGCCAACAGCUGUAAAACACCAAAGAAGAAGAAUUUUCACUGUAGCACAAGCUAAAGAACAGCAUGAUUCAAGACCUCCUUUAAUCUUGUUCCAUCUGCCUGUGUGAUCCUUGGGGAAGCUUUGUUUGUGAGUAGAUUAAUUCAUCAAUGUUUUUAGGAAUUAUUUCUGCUCAUACUUCAUUGUAUUUCAUAAUAUUUGUUUACAUUAUUUCAUAGUCACUUAUGAAUUAUUUGCAGUUUCACACUACAACAACUUGACCACAUGAAAGUGCUGUAUUUUCAUUAAACGGACGUACAAGUGCACGUUGAUAACUUA